AGAGUUUGAUCAUGGCUCAGGACGAACGCUGGCGGUGUGCUUAAGACAUGCAAGUCGUGCGGACCGUAGCAAUACGGUCAGCGGCGGACGGGUGAGUAACACGUGGAUAACCUGCCUGACUCCCCGGGAUAACAGGCCGAAAGGCCUGCUAAUACCGGGUAAGCUCACGGGGCCGCAUGGUCCUGGGAGAAAAGCUCCUGCAAGGGAGUGGGGUCAGAGGGGUCCGCGGCCCAUUAGCUAGUUGGGGGGGUAACGGCCCACCAAGGCGACGAUGGGUAGCCGGCCUGAGAGGGCGACCGGCCACACUGGGACUGAGACACGGCCCAGACUCCUACGGGAGGCAGCAGUCGGGAAUUUUGGGCAAUGGCCGAAAGGGCUGACCCAGCAACACCGCGUGAGUGAAGAAGGCCUUCGGGUUGUAAAGCUCUGUUGCCCGUGAAGAACGGUACUAUCAGGAAAUGGGUAGUACUUGACGGUAGCGGGUGAGGAAGCUCCGGCUAACUACGUGCCAGCAGCCGCGGUAAUACGUAGGGAGCGAGCGUUGUCCGGAUUUAUUGGGCGUAAAGGGCGUGUAGGCGGCUUUUUAAGUCUGAAGUGAAACGCCAGGGCUCAACCCUGGAACUGCUUCGGAUACUGGGAAGCUUGAGUACUCUAGAGGGCAGUGGAAUUCCGGGUGUAGCAGUGAAAUGCGUAGAGAUCCGGAGGAACACCAGUGGCGAAGGCGACUGCCUGGGGAGAAACUGACGCUGAGGCGCGAAAGCUGGGGGAGCAAACGGGAUUAGAUACCCCGGUAGUCCCAGCCGUAAACGAUGAGUGCUAGGUGUAGGGGGUAUCGACCCCCCCUGUGCCGGAGUUAACGCAAUAAGCACUCCGCCUGGGGAGUACGGCCGCAAGGUUGAAACUCAAAUGAAUUGACGG
rnacentral:rRNA from 1 species